UACGUAGGGUGCGAGCGCUGUCCGGAAUUAUUGGGCGUAAAGAGCUCGUAGGCGGUCUGUCGCGUCGAUCGUGAAAACUUGGGGCUUAACCCUGAGCUUGCGGUUGAUACGGGCAUGACUGGAGUUCGGCAGGGGAGACUGGAAUUCCUGGUGUAGCGGUGAAAUGCGCAGAUAUCAGGAGGAACACCGGUGGCGAAGGCGGGUCUCUGGGCCGAUACUGACGCUGAGGAGCGAAAGCGUGGGGAGCGAACAGG
rnacentral:rRNA from 1 species